CAGCAGCCGCGGUAAACCGUAGGAGGCAAGCGUUAUCCGGAUUUACUGGGCGUAAAGCGUGUGUAGGCGGUUUGGUAAGUCGGACGUGAAAACUCCUGGCUCAACUAGGAGAGGCCGUUCGAAACUUCCAAACUUGAGGGCAGUAGAGGGAGGUGGAAUUCCCGGU
rnacentral:rRNA from 1 species